UUGGCACUGGCACAUUUUUGUG
rnacentral:miRNA from 1 species